CCAUCUCUAUAAAAAAUAAAAUUUAAAUUUAAAAAAGGCUGCCUGGUAGCUGGUGCUGAAAAAAAUAUCCUUGACUGCAUUCUUGCCCUGGAUCUGUGCCAGUGGCAGCUGUCAGCUUGAUGGGGCACAA
rnacentral:snoRNA from 1 species